CAUACAUCAGGCUUCCGACAGCUGAAGCAUAAGGUGUGGCCUUACUCUUAUCCAUAUUAAAUCUCUUAAGCAUUUUCUCAAUAUAUGCUUUUUGAGACAAUCCUAGUACUCCUUUGGUCCUAUCUCGGUGUAUCUCAAUGCCCAGAACAUAAGAGGCUUCACCAAGAUCUUUCAUAUCAAAA